UAUCGGAGAGUUUGAUCCUGGCUCAGGACGAACGCUGGCGGCGUGCCUAAUACAUGCAAGUCGAGCGGAUUGAUGGGAGCUUGCUCCCUGAAGUCAGCGGCGGACGGGUGAGUAACACGUGGGUAACCUGCCUGUAAGACUGGGAUAACUCCGGGAAACCGGGGCUAAUACCGGAUAGUUCUUUUCCUCGCAUGAGGAAAAGUGGAAAGGCGGCUUCGGCUGCCACUUACAGAUGGACCCGCGGCGCAUUAGCUAGUUGGUGAGGUAACGGCUCACCAAGGCAACGAUGCGUAGCCGACCUGAGAGGGUGAUCGGCCACACUGGGACUGAGACACGGCCCAGACUCCUACGGGAGGCAGCAGUAGGGAAUCUUCCGCAAUGGACGAAAGUCUGACGGAGCAACGCCGCGUGAGUGAUGAAGG
rnacentral:rRNA from 1 species